UAUGAAAGUUCUGGUGCAAAGGUAUUAGAGGAUGACAUGAUUGAGACCUAUGACAAUGAUGUGAGGCCUUAAAUGUAGUUCAGUUCUGGCUUCUUCAAGCCCAAUCUCGUUUUUGAUGAAGUGAUUGCACUAUUAACAGAUUCUGAAAGUUCCUUCACUCCUUAAUCCUUAUAGCUAUAAGUGCCAAGGUAAUGCAGUUUAUAAAGUAUGAUACUUGUGAGUUGUGAUUGAUUAAACACUAGUGCCACAGAUUGCAUGUGAAUUGUAUUAAAUGUAUGGUUCGGUGUUGUUUAUUCCGAUUAGUAUCAUAAACUUGUAUUGGUAUGAAACUACUAUUGGUGUUACAGUUGCUAUUUGCAAGUGGAUAAUUUGUAUUUUAAAUUAAA